AACAGACCGCAAUGGAGACAUCAGCGCCCAGGGAAGCGAGGGAACAGCAGGCUCCUUCCAGCAGCAGAUCGGGAUGGGAGCCUGGGACACAAAGGGGGCUCCGGGACCGGGAUUGAUUCGGGACAGAUACCUGAGGGACUAAGACACUGUAAUACUUCCUCGGUUCAAAGGGAAGUCGGACCAACUGCCUCGAGCAAACAGCAGGCAAGUACUCAAAGGACCAAGACAAUGUAAUAUUCCCUCGGUACAGAGCCAAGUGUGACCAGUUGCUUCGAACAAACAGCCGGUAUGUUACUGCUAUCAGAGUGAAGAACAAUCCUUUCCAGUCACAGAGUGGAUUGAGUCAGGUUCACAUUCAGCUCCAUUCCCAGAGAGAUAUGUUCAAACCAAGAGUCAAACACCACCAAGGAAACUGAAGUUUAUAUUUUUUAAUCGAUAUGCUAAAUGCAUCCAACCCAGUUUCAAUCAACUUGAAUGAAUUCUCAUCCAAAAUAUACACUGCAUCAAAAUAUGAACAUCGAACAGUACGGACAGGAAUGGGUCCUUCGGCCCACCAUGUUGUGCCGAACAUGCCGUCAAAAUGCAAUUAAUCCCUUCUCCCUGGCUUGGUCCAUAAUCCUCUAGUCUUUACAUAUUCAUUUGCUUACCUAAAAGUCCUUUCAAUACCCUUGUUGUAUCUUCCUCCAUCUCCACCCCAGGCAGUGUGUCCCACUGCUACCAUCUCUUUGUUUAAAAAUAAAACUGCCCCUUAUGUCUCAGAGUCAUAGAGAUGUACAGCAUAGGCCAGGUGCUGGCAGCAGGAGUAGAUUGGGUUGGGAUAUCUGUUCGGCAUGGACUGUUAGGAGCCUAAUACCAUCAAAAUUGCCCUUUCUCCAAUUUAGAAUUUCAACUUUUAGAUCUGGUCUCCCCUUUUCCAUCACUAUUUUAAAUCUAAUAGAAUUAUGGUCGCUGGCCCAAAGUGCUCACCCACUGACACCUCAGUCACCUGUCCUGCCUUGUUUCUCAAGAGUAGGUCAGGUUUUGCAACUUCUCUAGUAGGUACAUCCACAUAAUGAAUCAGAAAAUUGUUGUGUACGCACUCAACAAAUUGCUCUCCAUCUAAACCCUGAACACUAUGUCAGUCCCGGUCUAUGUUUGAAAAGUUAAAAUCCCCUACCAUAACCACCCUAUUAUUCUUACAGAUAGAGUCAUAGAGAUAUACAGCAUGGAAACAAACCCUUCCGUCCAACCCGUCCAUUCCAACCAGAUAUCCCAACCCAGCCUGUUCAGCCUAUCUUAUAGCUCAGAUCCUCCAACCUUGGCAACAUCCUUGUAAAUCUUUUCUGAACCCUUUCAAGUUUCACAACAUCUUUCCGAUAGGAAGGAGACCAGAAUUGCACGCAAUAUUCCAAUAGUGGCCGAACCAAUGUCCUGUCCAGCGCAACAUGACUCCUAACUCCUGUUCUCAAUACUCUGACCAAUAACGGAAAACAUACUAAACACCUUCUUCACUAUCCUAUCUACCUGCAACUCUACUUUCGAGGAGCUAUGAACCUGCACUCCAAGGUCUCUUUGUUCAGCAACACUCCGUAGGACCUUACCAUUAAGUGUAUAAGUCCUGCUAAGAUUUUCUUUCCCAAAAUGCAGCACCUCCCAUUUAUCUGAAUUAAACUCCAUCUGCCACUUCUCAGCCCAUUGGCCCAUCUGGUCCAGAUCCUAUUGUAAUCUGAGGUAAUCCUCUUCGCUGUCCACUACACCUCCAAUUUUAGUGUCAUCUGCAAACUUACUAACUGUACCUCUUAUGCUCGCAUCCAAAUCAUUUAUGUAAAUGACAAAAGGUAGAGGGCCCAGCACCGAUCCUUGUGGCAUUCCACUGGUCACAGGCCUUCAGUCUGAAAAACAACCCUCCACCACCACCCUCUGUCUUCUAUGUUUGAGCCAGUUCUGUAUUCAAAUGUAUUCCAUGAGAUAUAACCUUGCUAAUCAGCCUCCCAUGGUGAACCUUGUCGAACGCUUUACUGAAAUUAAAAUGCCUGGAGCCUAAAUCCAGCACCUUAGACCACUCGGCCACGCUACCGUGGUUAUAGCUGAGAUCUCCUUACAAGUUUGAUCCUCAAUUUCCCUCUGACUAUUCGGAGGUCUAUAAUACAAUCCCAAUAAGGUGAUUAUCCCUUUCUUAUUUCUCAGUUCCACCCAAAUAACUUCCCUGGAUGUAUUUCGAGGAAUAUCCUCUCUGAGCACAGCUGUAAUGUUAUCCCUUCUCAAAAUGCCACACCCCCUCCUCUCUUGCCUCCCUUUAUGUCCUUCCUGUAGCAUUUGUAUCCUGUAACAUCAAGCUGCCAAUCCUGCCCAUCCCUGAGCCAUGUUUCUGUAAUUGCUAUGAUAUCCCAGUCCUAUGUUCCUAACUAUGCCCUAAGUUCAUCUGCUUUCCCUGCAUUUACUUCCCUUGCCUUGAAGUAAAUGCAGUUUAGUUUAUUCGUCCUACCUUGUCCCUGCUUGCCCUGAUAGUUUGUCUCACUUCUGUUCUUAACUGUACCAGUCUCAGACUGAUCUCUUUCCUCACUAUGUCCGU